GAAAGUAUUUGAUUUUAUUAUUAGUUGGAUUAUGGGUUCUUUGUGGGGUCGGGUAGACCCUAAUAAAUUAUUUUUACGUUGUGAUAAAUUAUUCGGUUGUACUUAUAUCUGUUUAACAGCUACUUUUAUCAUUUUACUUUUAUGGCUAUAAAGUCUUAAAAUAUUAAAUAUCUAUUAUACUCUGUUGCUAGCAAAGGGUUAAAGUUACCCAUUGGUUAUAAUUGUGUUAUAACUUUGUUAUUUGUUCAUUAAGAUUUUAUUGUUCAGCUGUUCAUUUUUAAUUUUUAGGUUCUUAUUAUGAUUAUAUAAGUAAUUUUAAUACAUAUUAUGUUUCUCAUAAGCUGCCUGUCUGUUUAUCAAAAACAUUUCCACCUACAUUUUUGGGUGGUAGUACCUGCUCUAUGCUUUAGUAAAUGGCCGCAGUAUCUUGACUGUGCGAAGGUAGCAUAAUUAAUUGCCUUAUAAUUGAGGGCUUGUUUGAAUGGUUUGACAAGGUAGUGUUUAACAUGUUUUGUAUUUUUGAAUUUAAUACUGGGGGUACAGAAUCCCCUUAAUGUUAAUUAGACGGAAAGACCCCGGGAUCUUUUAUUUUGUCUGGGGCAGAUUAUAAUGAUUCAUUUAUAAAUUUGACCUUAAUGGUGCAUUGGUGUAAGUUACCCCGGGGAUAACAGUGUAAUAGUUUAUUAGAGAUCUUAUCGAAUAAACUGCUUGCUACCUCGAUGUUGACUUAGGUUUAGGCUUGGGCGCAGUAGUCCAGGCUUUUGGUCUGUUCGACCUUAACUAACCUCCAUGAGUUGAGUUAAGACCGGCGUGA
rnacentral:rRNA from 1 species